rnacentral:tRNA from 1 species
GCAUCUGUAGCUCAAUUGGAUAGAGUCCCUGACUUCGAAUCAGGUGGUUAGAGGUUCGAGUCCUCUCAGGUGCG